GUGAUAAUUAUGAGAACCAAUCCUACUACUUCGCGUCCCGGGAUUUCCACAAUUGAAGAAAAAAGCGUAGGGCGUAUUGAUCAAAUUAUUGGACCCGUGCUGGAUAUCACUUUUCCCCCGGGCAAGUUGCCUUAUAUUUAUAAUGCUUUGAUAGUCAAGAGUCGAGACACUGCCGAUAAGUAAAUUAAUGUGACUUGUGAGGUACAACAAUUAUUAGGAAAUAAUCGAGUUAGAGCUGUGGCUAUGAGUGCUACAGAGGGGUUGGGUUGAUGAGAGGAAUGGAAGUGAUUGACACGGGAACUCCUCUCAGUGUUCCAGUCGGUGGAGCUACUCUCGGACGAAUUUUUAACGUUCUUGGGGAGCCUAUUGACAAUUUGGGUCCUGUGGAUACUAGUGCAACAUUUCCUAUUCAUAGAUCUGCGCCUGCCUUUAUCGAGUUAGAUACGAAAUUAUCUAUCUUUGAAACAGGUAUUAAGGUGGUCGAUCUUUUAGCUCCCUAUCGACGUGGAGGAAAAAUCGGACUGUUUGGGGGGGGCAGGAGUAGGUAAAACAGUACUCAUCAUGGAAUUAAUCAAUAACAUUGCUAAAGCUCAUGGAGGCGUAUCCGUAUUUGGCGGAGUAGGGGAACGGACUCGUGAAGGAAAUGAUCUUUAUAUGGAAAUGAAGGAAUCUGGAGUAAUUAAUGAAAAAAAUAUUGAGGAAUCAAAGGUAGCUCUAGUCUAUGGCCAAAUGAAUGAACCGCCAGGAGCUCGUAUGAGAGUUGGUUUAACUGCCCUAACUAUGGCAGAGGCAGAAUAUUUCCGAGAUGUUAAUAAGCAAGACAUGCUUUUAUUCAUCGAUAAUAUCUUUCGUUUUGUUCAAGCAGGAUCGGAAGUAUCCGCCUUAUUAGGCAGAAUGCCCUCCGCAGUGGGUUAUCAACCUACCCUUAGUACAGAAAUGGGUUCUUUGCAAGAAAGAAUUACUUCUACCAAAAAGGGAUCUAUAACUUCGAUCCAAGCAGUUUAUGUACCUGCAGACGAUUUGACCGACCCUGCUCCUGCCACAACAUUUGCACAUUGGACGCUACUACCGUACUUUCUAGAGGAUUAGCUUCCAAGGGUAUUUAUCCCGCAGUAGAUCCUUUAGAUUAAACCUCAACUAUGUUACAGCCUCGGAUUGUUGGCACCGAACAUUAUGAAACUGCGCUAAGAGUUAAGGAAACUUUACAACGUUACAAAGAACUUCAGGACAUUAUCGCAAUUCUUGGAUUGGAUGAAUUAUCGGAGGAGGAUCGUUUAACUGUAGCAAGAGCACGAAAAAUCGAGUGGUUCUUAUCACAACCGUUCUUUGUGGCAGAAGUUUUUACCGGUUCUCCAGGAAAGUAUGUUGGUCUUGCAGAAACAAUUAGGGGAUUUCAACUAAUCCUUUCCGGAGAAUUAGACGGCCUACCCGAACAGGCUUUUUAUUUAGUGGGGAACAUCGAUGAAGCUAGCACGAAAGCUAUAAACUUAGAAGAGGAGAGCAAAUUGAAGAAAUGA